GGAGGGUUGGCAGAACGGCUAAUGCGCGAGUCUUGAAAACUCGUGGGCGAAAGCCCUUAGAGGUUCGAGUCCUCUACCCUCCG
rnacentral:tRNA from 1 species